UUGAAACACCAGUUCUUGUAUUAUCACUGAAGUUAAGCAACUUGGAGCCUGGUUAGGACCUAGAUCGGUGACGACUUGGGAAUACCAAGUGUUGUAAU